CCGGAUAGCUCAGUCGGUAGAGCAUCAGAC
rnacentral:piRNA from 9 species